UCGCAAACUAACGGAAAUGAAGCUACGCUCCGGGAGCGGUGCCUCUGGGAAAUGUAGUCCAGCGCUCCGGACGCCGUGCCUCUGGGAAAUGUAGUCCAGCGCUUGGCUAGCCGGCCAGAACGCCAGGAGGCCCGGGCCGCUCACCCCUCGAGGGGCUCGUGGGCUCGGCCUGUGGAACCUGCUUGUCCCGCCUGCAGCGCCCCGGAGGUUUCUGGGAGUGCCCGCCCGCCCGCGCUCAGUGCGCAGGCGUCAGACGCUCAGGGCCUGCGAGAGCGAGCUGAGUGGUCCCAGGGUCUACCCCUGGCAGGAGAGAGGGUGGGACCCGCCGGCCAGGCAGGUGCGGGGGAGGAGCUGGGGCCGGUGCGGGGACCCGCCGGAACCUCGGAUUUGCAGAGGACCCUGUGUGUGCCCUCCCAGGCCCUUGGGGUGUGUGUGACAAUGGGAGAUGCCAGGUGGACUGAGAGUCUUUCCGUGGCCGGGUGUGUAUGGUUGUGUUUCUGCCUGUGUGUGAUUCUUCCUGCUGUGGGGUGUGAGGUGAUUUGUACUUUAAGCUGCGUAGUAAUGGGAUUUUAUAACUGUGUAGAAUCGUCUAACAGAGUAAGACGAUUUUACACAGAUCUCUAUUGUGGUUUGCUUAUGAAGGGUAUCUGUAUGUAUAUCUGCUUUUUUGUGUGUGGCCGUAAUUGAGUAACUGGUGAUCUGUGUUAUAUAAACGUGCUUUCUUUGUGCUUGUAUUUCAGUGUCUGUAAGGGUGCCAAGAGCAAAUGAGCUGUGUGUGAUCGUGUGUGACAGUGAAAAUACUAUGGCCAAGUUAUUUCUUCCUUAAAUAGUAAUGUAAUAAUCUGGAAAAGAUAAUCAAUUUAUCUGACAAGUAAUUUAGACAUCAUUUUUCUAUUGGAUCAAAUAUAUGUGUUAUCGGGAAGAAUCCAAAAUUAACGUAGUUUUUUCUUUGUUUUUAGAAAGAUUAUUUCAAAACCAGUCCUAGGGUAACUGCCUUUUCCUCUGCCACAGCAGGCCAAAAGUAGAUAUCCAUUAUUUUCUAAUUAGAGGGUAAAGUUUCUCUUAUUACUGGGUACGGUUGAGAGGCCAUCAACUAAUAAAAUAAUAAAACAACGUUAUACAUAAGAAGAGUGAAUUUUAGCACAGUACAGCACUAGUCAGAUUUCCCAAAUUCUAGGUCAAACACUUGUCCUCAUUUUCUGAUGAGAAAACCUUGGCCGGCAGAAAGUAACUUAAGGCUGUAGAGUUUGUUGGUAAACCUGAACUUAUUUUUACUUACUUCAAGACCUCUUGGCCUUUUAUGAUUUUUGAAUAAUCAAAAACUUGUGAACUUCCAGCACAGAGAAGAUAGAGUAUAAUUUCACCACUCCUUCAGAGGGAAAAAAAUUAAUAAAACUUGGUCUUGCAAGACCAUAUAUCAAAUACAUUGAUCUCUUACCGGUAAUGUGACUGGAAUAGCAAAUUUGGUGAUCAGAAUUCUUGAGGGAAUGAACCUGUGUGUGUGAUCAGGCAUAGCUAUGUGAAAUAUAGAUAAUUAAAUUGCACUGAGUUAGAGUGGGUCAAAGUCAGGCAAGAAUUAUGUCCAAUUCACAUGCACACGUAUGUUUAUUGCG
rnacentral:lncRNA from 1 species